GAUGAACGCUGGCGGCGUGCCUAAUACAUGCAAGUCGAGCGAACAGAUGAGGAGCUUGCUCCUCUGACGUUAGCGGCGGACGGGUGAGUAACACGUGGAUAACCUACCUAUCAGACUGGGAUCACUUCGGGAAACCGGCUCUAAUACCGGAUAAUCUAUUGAACCGCAUGGUUCAAUAGUGAAAGACGGUUUUGCUGUCACUUCUCGCUGCAUCCGGGCCGCAUUAGCUAGUUGGUAAGGUAACGGCUUACCAAGGCAACGAUGCGUAGCCGACCUGAGAGGGGGAUCGGCCACACUGGAACUGAGAGACGGUCCAGAGUCCUAGGGGAGGCAGCAGUAGGGAAGCUUCCGCAAUGGGCGAAAGACUGACGGAGCAACGCCGCGUGAGUGAUGAAGGUCUUCGGAUCGGAAAACUCUGUUAUUAGGGAAGAACAAAUGUGUAAGUAACUAUGCACGUCUUGACGGUACCGAAACAGAAAGCCACGGCUAACUACGG
rnacentral:rRNA from 1 species